GUGAGCAGUCAAGAAACAACUUUAUAUUUGGUGAGAUUUUGUCAAUAGUUAUAAUAAAGCUUCUGUUAAAUUAUUUUGUUGUUUCUUGGCUGCGCACGAUGUUUCCACAACAGGAAUAAAGAUAGAAAACUGCAUAAAUUCUGUAUUUUUCAUCGUUUUUUUUAAAACAGUACAUAUUAUGACGUAAUUGUGACGUCGUCACAUAAGAAUCUCAAUGUUUUUCAUUUAUAUUUCUUGACCCUAUGCAUUUCUAAACAUUAUGUGCCAAUUUGAAAAAGUU
rnacentral:lncRNA from 1 species